rnacentral:rRNA from 1 species
CCUACGGGCGGCAGCAGUGAGGAAUAUUGGUCAAUGGCCGGAAGGCUGAACCAGCCAUGCCGCGUGAAGGUCAGUGCCCUAUGGGCGUUAAACUUCUUUUGUGCGGGAGCAAUAAUGGUCACGUGUGGCCAGACGAGAGUACCGUACGAAUAAGCAUCGGCUAACGCCGUGCCAGCAGCCGCGGUAAUACGGGGGAUGCAAGCGUUAUCCGGAUUUAUUGGGGUUAAAGGGUGCGUAGGCUGUGAGGUAAGUCAGCGGUGAAAUGCCGCCGCUCAACGGGGUGAAGUGCCAUUGAUACUGCCUUGCUGGAGUGCGGAUGCCGUGGGAGGAAUGUGUGGUGUAGCGGUGAAAUGCAUAGAUAUCACACAGAACACCGAUUGCGAAGGCAUCUCACGAAACCGCGAUUGACGCUGAUGCACGAAAGCGUGGGUAUCAAACAGGAUUAGAUACCCGUGUAGUC